CGGACGGGUGAGUAAUACUUAGGAAUCUGCCCAUUAGUGGGGGACAACAUUCGGGAACGGAUGCUAAUACCGCAUACGCCCUACGGGGGAAAGCGGGGGAUCUUCGGACCUCGCGCUAAUGGAUGAGCCUAAGUCGGAUUAGCUUGUUGGUGAGGUAAUGGCUCACCAAGGCGACGAUCCGUAGCUGGUCUGAGAGGACGAUCAGCCACACUGGGACUGAGACACGGCCCAG
rnacentral:rRNA from 1 species